GACGGAGGAUGCAAGCGUUAUCCGGAAUGAUUGGGCGUAAAGCGUCCGCAGGCGGCCGUUCAAGUCUGCUGUCAAAGACCGGGGCUUAACUUCGGAAAGGCAGUGGAAACUGAACAGCUAGAGUAUGGUAGGGGCAGAGGGAAUUCCUGGUGUAGCGGUGAAAUGCGUAGAUAUCAGGAAGAACAUCGGUGGCGAAGGCGCUCUGCUGGACCAUAACUGACACUCAGGGACGAAAGCUAGGGGAGCGAAUGGG
rnacentral:rRNA from 1 species